rnacentral:ncRNA from 1 species
AAAUUAUUUUGGUUCAUUUACAAUGCUGUGAAUGAUUAAAAAGGAAUCAGGUGUAAAUCCUGAACGGUCCGGCCACUGUGAAUGGUAGGUUUGCUCUGUAUUGCCACUGGAUAAUCCCGGGAAGGCGGAGUAGAUAAUAGCCAUGAGUCAGGAGACUUGCCAAAGUAAU